rnacentral:rRNA from 1 species
CGCUGGCGGCGUGCUUAACACAUGCAAGUCGAACGAUGAUCCCAGCUUGCUGGGGGAUUAGUGGCGAACGGGUGAGUAACACGUGAGUAACCUGCCCUUGACUCUGGGAUAAGCCUGGGAAACUGGGUCUAAUACCGGAUAUGACUCCUCAUCGCAUGGUGGGGGGUGGAAAGCUUUUGUGGUUUUGGAUGGACUCGCGGCCUAUCAGCUUGUUGGUGGGGUAAUGGCCUACCAAGGCGACGACGGGUAGCCGGCCUGAGAGGGUGACCGGCCACACUGGGACUGAGACACGGCCCAGACUCCUACGGGAGGCAGCAGUGGGGAAUAUUGCACAAUGGGCGCAAGCCUGAUGCAGCGACGCCGCGUGAGGGAUGACGGCCUUCGGGUUGUAAACCUCUUUCAGUAGGGAAGAAGCGUAAGUGACGGUACCUGCAGAAGAAGCGCCGGCUAACUACGUGCCAGCAGCCGCGGUAAUACGUAGGGCGCAAGCGUUAUCCGGAAUUAUUGGGCGUAAAGAGCUCGUAGGCGGUUUGUCGCGUCUGCUGUGAAAGACCGGGGCUCAACUCCGGUUCUGCAGUGGGUACGGGCAGACUAGAGUGCAGUAGGGGAGACUGGAAUUCCUGGUGUAGCGGUGAAAUGCGCAGAUAUCAGGAGGAACACCGAUGGCGAAGGCAGGUCUCUGGGCUGUAACUGACGCUGAGGAGCGAAAGCAUGGGGAGCGAACAGGAUUAGAUACCCUGGUAGUCCAUGCCGUAAACGUUGGGCACUAGGUGUGGGGGACAUUCCACGUUUUCCGCGCCGUAGCUAACGCAUUAAGUGCCCCGCCUGGGGAGUACGGCCGCAAGGCUAAAACUCAAAGGAAUUGACGGGGGCCCGCACAAGCGGCGGAGCAUGCGGAUUAAUUCGAUGCAACGCGAAGAACCUUACCAAGGCUUGACAUGAACCGGAAAGACCUGGAAAC